rnacentral:rRNA from 1 species
AUUGAACGCUGGCGGCAUGCUUUACACAUGCAAGUCGAACGGUAACAGGGAGCUUGCUCCGCUGACGAGUGGCGAACGGGUGAGUAAUGCAUCGGAACGUACCCAGUCGUGGGGGAUAACGUAGCGAAAGUUACGCUAAUACCGCAUACGUCCUGAGGGAGAAAGCGGGGGACCGUAAGGCCUCGCGCGAUUGGAGCGGCCGAUGUCGGAUUAGCUAGUUGGUAGGGUAAAGGCCUACCAAGGCGACGAUCCGUAGCGGGUCUGAGAGGAUGAUCCGCCACACUGGGACUGAGACACGGCCCAGACUCCUACGGGAGGCAGCAGUGGGGAAUUUUGGACAAUGGGCGAAAGCCUGAUCUAGCCAUGCCGCGUGAGUGAAGAAGGCCUUCGGGUUGUAAAGGCUCUUUCUAGACGGAAAGAAAUACGCAUCUUCUAAUACAGGUGUGGAUGACGGUACCGUAAGAAGAAGC